rnacentral:rRNA from 1 species
AGGACCGGAGUGGACGUACCUCUGGUGUUCCGGUUGUCACGCCAGUGGCACUGCCGGGUAGCUAAGUACGGACGGGAUAACCGCUGAAAGCAUCUAAGCGGGAAGCCCCCCUCAAGAUUAGUUCUCACUGGAUCCUCGAGAUCCCUGAAGGGCCGUUGAAGACUACGACGUUGAUAGGCUGGGUGUGGAAGUGCAGCAAUGUAUGAAGCUAACCAGUACUAAUUGCCCGUGAGGCUUGAUCACAUAACACCAGAACGUUUCAG